GGAAAUGAGGCUUAGUGAUAAGAGUGCUUGCCUAGCAAGCAUGAAGCCCUGGGUUUGAUUCCUCACAUAGCCA
rnacentral:tRNA from 1 species